CUAAAGAUAAGGAUUCUUCAGUCACUCUCAUCAGUUUUCCUGGAAAUAAGAACCUCAUUGCCUGUUACAGCUAAAACCCCUGUCCUGAAAAUAAAUAAAUAGAUAAACAAAACUAGGGGCACAGAAAGGAGAUGAAGACAUUGCCCCUAUGUUUUAGAUAUUAGCUUCAUAGAGAGAAUCCAUGGACUCAGAUUAAAAUCCUGUGAUGUGAUGAGGAAAUUAAGCCUUACAGCGCACCCUUUCACUGUGCCAUGAUGAGCAGAAAGAAGUAGCAGACUCCUAUUUUGCCUAGCUGAGCUGCAGCUUCCAAUAAUAUUGUGGUCUUCAUAUCAGUAAGUGCAGCAUCAUCCAGAGGCUCCAGUGAAGAGCAACCCUUGAAGUGCACCAUGCUUACAACUGCCCUGAAGUCUAAGGAAAGGAAGAAUGUUUGUAUUUCAUUUUGAUGAGAUAAUGGUAGUGUGACCAUCCACAUACAAUGUUUCAGGUAAGAUUUGCUUACCUUCUAGGAGAAAGCUCCCACAAAAUCACCAUCAGCUGAACCCUGAGUCAAGGAAACGUACAAGAG
ensembl:lncRNA